UUCCUUGUCUUCCAAUUUUAUUAAGAAAAAGAUUUUGACAAAACACUUAAGUUUGAAAAGAAGUUGAUUUGCAUUUGAAAAUGGUUUUGAAUUGAUGACAAGAUGGUUGAAAAAUGAUGAGAGGCGCAAAAUAGGGAGUUCAAGCCUGAGGGCGAGGACUCUAACAUAAGGGAGUAACUUAACGCCACAAUUUGUACAAAACGCGAUAUCGCUUGCACAAACGCAACAAAAUGAUAGGACAAUAAGAUACAUAUAACAAUCAUAAACAACACACAUUCAUCACAAACAAAUCGAAAAUUAAAUGUGCGCGUAUCAAAUUAAACACAACACGAGAACACAAAUUGAGUUCAUGCAACGUGAGGAUAUGUAAUACUAAGGUACCAACGCAGAAUUCAAAUGCAAUAAAAUGAAAAUAUUGCAC
rnacentral:lncRNA from 1 species